UCCCGCUGCGUCUGCGGGGCCCGGGGGGUAGACGGGCGUGAUCGCGGCGGGGCUCCCACGCUGCGCGGCCCCGGGUUCGUCUCCGGGGCGGGGGCUCGGCCGGCUGACUGGGCGGCGGCCACUCUGGGACAAGCAAAAGGUCAGUGACUGAAGGAGCUGUGAACUUGCUGAGUUUCAACAGUGGUGGAACAAGAGUGGAGCCUCGAGUGUAUAAAAGGCGGGAAGACUGACAAGAGAGAAAGCGACUCAGGUACACCACUGAGGUCUCUGAGGUCCACAAAGGAGUCCGGUUGGGAACCUUAGGAAACAGAAGACAAGAACCUGACUCAGGAAGCGUCCAUGAGAAUAGUCUCGGAGGAACCUACAGAUAAACCCGCACUUGCUAGAGGUAAUGAGAAUGUGCUAGAGCAAUGGGAGAGUCCUGUAACUUGUAAGAAGCCAAGAUGACAAGACUUUUGAAAAAAUAAUUAAGAGAGACGGAGACAGGGAGCCAGGCUGCACUGCUACUCCGCCAUGCUCAGACGGGACUGAGCACAGGGCCUCCUUAUACACGGUCAAGCAUUCACUCUGCCCGGGGAAGCUAUCUUCCCUACCGCUGAAAGCCCUUUUUUUCAAUUCCCCUACACCAC